GCUUAACCGAGGAAUAGCAUCGGAAACUGUCUUUCUUGAGUGCAGAAGAGGAGAGUGGAACUCCAUGUGUAGCGGUGGAAUGCGUAGAUAUAUGGAAGAACACCAGUGGCGAAGGCGGCUCUCUGGUCUGUAACUGACGCUGAGGCUCGAAAGCAUGGGUAGCGAACAGGAUUAGAUACCCUGGUAGUCCAUGCUGUAAACGAUGAGUGCUAAGUGUUGGGAGGUUUCCGCCUCUCAGUGCUGCAGCUAACGCAUUAAGCACUCCGCCUGGGGAGUACGACCGCAAGGUCAAAACUCAAAGGAAUUGACGGGGGCCCGCACAAGCAGUGGAGCAUGUGGUUUAAUUCGAAGCAACGCGAAGAACCUUACCAGGUCUUGACAUCUAGUGCCAACUUAAGAGAUUAGGCGUUCCCUUCGGGGACACUAAGACAGGUGGUGCAUGGCUGUCGUCAGCUCGUGUCGUGAGAUGUUGGGUUAAGUCCCGCAACGAGCGCAACCCUUAUUAUUAGUUGCCAGCAUUAAGUUGGGCACUCUAAUGAGACUGCCGGUGACAAACCGGAGGAAGGUGGGGAUGACGUCAAGUCAUCAUGCCCCUUAUGACCUGGGCUACACACGUGCUACAAUGGGCAGUACAACG
rnacentral:rRNA from 1 species